rnacentral:rRNA from 1 species
UACGUAGGGGGCAAGCGUUGUCCGGAUUUAUUGGGCGUAAAGGGCAGGUAGGUGGUCUCGUUUGUCUAGGGUGAAAGCCUUGAGCUUAACUCAAGAAGUGCCCUAGAAACGGCGAGACUAGAGUUCUGGAGAGGGUCGUGGAAUUCCCAGUGUAGCGGUGAAAUGCGUAGAGAUUGGGAGGAACACCAGAGGCGAAAGCGGCGACCUGGACAGAUACUGACACUCAACUGCGAAAGCGUGGGGAGCAAACAGG